ACGGGGUGCAGCAGGCGCGAAACCUCCACAAUGUACGAGAGUGCGAUGGGGGGAUCCCAAGUGCUAUUCCUAACGGGAUAGCUUUUCUUAAGUGUAAAAAGCUUUUGGAAUAAGAGCUGGGCAAGACCGGUGCCAGCCGCCGCGGUAACACCGGCAGCUCUAGUGGUAACAAUUUUUAUUGGGCCUAAAGCGUCCGUAGCCGGUUUAAUAAGUCUCUGGUGAAAUCCUGUAGCUUAACUGUGGGAAUUGCUGGCGAUACUGUUGAACUUGAGGUCGGGAGAGGUUAGCGGUACUCCCAGGGUAGAGGUGAAAUUCUGUAAUCCUGGGAGGACCACCUGUGGCGAAGGCGGCUAACUGGAACGAACCUGACGGUGAGGGACGAAAGCCAGGGGCGCGAACCGGAUUAGAUACCCGGGUAGUCCCAGCCGUAAACGAUGCGCGUUAGGUGUAUCGGUGACCACGAGUCACCGAGGUGCCGAAGAGAAAUCGUGAAACGUGCCGCCUGGGAAGUACGGUCGCAAGGCUGAAACUUAAAGGAAUUGGCGGGGGAGCAC
rnacentral:rRNA from 1 species